rnacentral:rRNA from 1 species
AUGUGGUUUAAUUCGAUGAUACGCGAGGAACCUUACCCGGGCUCGAACGGUGCAGGAUAUGGUAGAGAUAUCAUAGCUAGCAAUAGUCUGUAUCGAGGUGCUGCAUGGUUGUCGUCAGCUCGUGCCGUGAGGUGUCGGCUUAAGUGCCAUAACGAGCGCAACCCUUGUCGUUAGUUACCAUCAAGUAAAGUUGGGGACUCUAGCGAGACUGCCACCGUAAGGUGUGAGAAGGGGGGGAUGACGUCAAAUCAGCACGGCCCUUACGUCCGGGGCGACACACGUGUUACAAUGGUAGGUACAGAGGGGCGCUAUCCAGUGAUGGAGUGCGAAUCUCAAAAACCUAUCUCAGUUCGGAUUGGAGUCUGCAACUCGACUCCAUGAAGUUGGAUUCGCUAGUAAUCGCGCAUCAGCCAUGGCGCGGUGAAUACGUUCCCGGGCCUU